rnacentral:tRNA from 1 species
GAGGGUAUAGCUCAGGGGUAGAGCACAUGCCUAGCAUGCACGAGGUCCUGGGUUCAAUCCCCAGUAUCUCCA